CGCGGGGGGGGGUGCCUAAUAAUGCAAGUCGAACGCGUUGGCCCAAUUGAUUGAUGGUGCUUGCACCUGAUUGAUUUUGGUCGCCAACGAGUGGCGGACGGGUGAGUAACACGUAGGUAACCUGCCCAGAAGCGGGGGACAACAUUUGGAAACAGAUGCUAAUACCGCAUAACAGCGUUGUUCGCAUGAACAACGCUUAAAAGAUGGCUUCUCGCUAUCACUUCUGGAUGGACCUGCGGUGCAUUAGCUUGUUGGUGGGGUAACGGCCUACCAAGGCGAUGAUGCAUAGCCGAGUUGAGAGACUGAUCGGCCACAAUGGGACUGAGACACGGCCCAUACUCCUACGGGAGGCAGCAGUAGGGAAUCUUCCACAAUGGGCGCAAGCCUGAUGGAGCAACACCGCGUGAGUGAAGAAGGGUUUCGGCUCGUAAAGCUCUGUUGUUAAAGAAGAACACGUAUGAGAGUAACUGUUCAUACGUUGACGGUAUUUAACCAGAAAGUCACGGCUAACUACGUGCCAGCAGCCGCGGUAAUACGUAGGUGGCAAGCGUUAUCCGGAUUUAUUGGGCGUAAAGAGAGUGCAGGCGGUUUUCUAAGUCUGAUGUGAAAGCCUUCGGCUUAACCGGAGAAGUGCAUCGGAAACUGGAUAACUUGAGUGCAGAAGAGGGUAGUGGAACUCCAUGUGUAGCGGUGGAAUGCGUAGAUAUAUGGAAGAACACCAGUGGCGAAGGCGGCUACCUGGUCUGCAACUGACGCUGAGACUCGAAAGCAUGGGUAGCGAACAGGAUUAGAUACCCUGGUAGUCCAUGCCGUAAACGAUGAGUGCUAGGUGUUGGAGGGUUUCCGCCCUUCAGUGCCGGAGCUAACGCAUUAAGCACUCCGCCUGGGGAGUACGACCGCAAGGUUGAAACUCAAAGGAAUUGACGGGGGCCCGCACAAGCGGUGGAGCAUGUGGUUUAAUUCGAAGCUACGCGAAGAACCUUACCAGGUCUUGACAUCUUGCGCCAACCCUAGAGAUAGGGCGUUUCCUUCGGGAACGCAAUGACAGGUGGUGCAUGGUCGUCGUCAGCUCGUGUCGUGAGAUGUUGGGUUAAGUCCCGCAACGAGCGCAACCCUUGUUACUAGUUGCCAGCAUUAAGUUGGGCACUCUAGUGAGACUGCCGGUGACAAACCGGAGGAAGGUGGGGACGACGUCAGAUCAUCAUGCCCCUUAUGACCUGGGCUACACACGUGCUACAAUGGACGGUACAACGAGUCGCGAACUCGCGAGGGCAAGCAAAUCUCUUAAAACCGUUCUCAGUUCGGACUGCAGGCUGCAACUCGCCUGCACGAAGUCGGAAUCGCUAGUAAUCGCGGAUCAGCAUGCCGCGGUGAAUACGUUCCCGGGCCUUGUACACACCGCCCGUCACACCAUGAGAGUUUGUAACACCCAAAGUCGGUGGGGUAACCUUUUAGGAGCCAGCCGCAUAAGGUGAACAAGGAAUG
rnacentral:rRNA from 1 species